AUUUACUUCUUAUCACAUUUUCGUAUAGAAUACUAUGGAACUGCACAGCUUAGAAAUCCACUUUUAAUACAAUAACAAAAUUGAAUUCUGGAAAAAUUAUUAAAUUUCAGUCUUAGAUAAAUUAACAUGUUUUUGUAAAGUCAGUUGUCUUCUUUCGGAAGUAAAUCAUCUCUCAUGUAUAAGCAGUUAAACUUGAAAGCAAUGGCUUUUACAAAGAGAUACACAGGCUUGUAUCCUAGCUACAUCCUGUUCAUGAAGCUGAUAUGUCACUUAGAAAUAUGACUUUUACAAUGUCUAAGAACAAACCCACUAAAUCCAAUAUUGUAUUGUAGUUCGCCGUACAUGACAUUGGAAAUGAUAUGUGAAUUUUUUUGCAGAAAAUCUCUAAAAGUGGAGUGAAGGAGACUACGAUAUUCUCAGUUAGACCAGAAAUUGAUAUUCUUUUAGUUUGCUGCUACUAAUAUAACUGUGUGAAUCUUCUUUGAUACAGUAUCACUAUAUACUAUUAGUGUGUUUAUUGUACAUGG
rnacentral:lncRNA from 1 species